rnacentral:rRNA from 1 species
CCUACGGGCGGCAGCAGUGGGGAAUAUUGGACAAUGGGGGCAACCCUGAUCCAGCCAUGCCGCGUGUGUGAAGAAGGCCCUCGGGUUGUAAAGCACUUUCAGUGAGGAAGAACGCCUGGUGGUUAAUACCCAUCAGGAAAGACAUCACUCACAGAAGAAGCACCGGCUAACUCCGUGCCAGCAGCCGCGGUAAUACGGAGGGUGCGAGCGUUAAUCGGAAUUACUGGGCGUAAAGCGCGCGUAGGUGGCUUGAUAAGCCGGUUGUGAAAGCCCCGGGCUCAACCUGGGAACGGCAUCCGGAACUGUCAAGCUAGAGUGCAGGAGAGGAAGGUAGAAUUCCCGGUGUAGCGGUGAAAUGCGUAGAGAUCGGGAGGAAUACCAGUGGCGAAGGCGGCCUGCUGGACUGACACUGACACUGAGGUGCGAAAGCGUGGGUAGCAAACAGGAUUAGAUACCCCGGUAGUC